rnacentral:lncRNA from 1 species
GUUAAGUCGCCGCUUGAUAGCCGCGACCGUACCGGUACAACAUCGUUUAUUGGGCAUAACGAUGCAGCUUCAUACUUUGUUGAGUAUGAAGGCAGGAGACAUGGCAUUUGUAUUGCAUUUGCAUUUGGGGUGCUAUCGGUUUUCUAUGGUAUUUAUUUGGUAGUGGUGGUGAGAAGUGAAUUUUCUCCAAGGUUUGGUGAUGAAUUGGUAUUAUUUAUGUAUGAGGGUGUUGGAGUUAUUAUUAUUAUUAUUAUUCAUUGAGGAGAUACGCUUGCUGAUAAUAGUUAAACCAUGGUCUAAUGAACUUGUAGUUUAAAUAGCUUGUUAAAGUUAGUUACUUGUUAAGAUUUUUUAUCUCACCCCUAUUUUUUAUCCUCUCAGGUACUUGUUGGAUGGAUGCUUUGCUUGGGGGUUGGAAAGUAGCAGCACGUCACACACUUAUCUUUAAUCAAAAUCCUCUAGUGUGAUGCUGUAAUAUUUAAGUCCUUCUCUAUGAGAGUCUGUUUGUUGCUUAAUGAUGGUAAAGCUUUGUUAAACCUUGCCUUAAUCGUUUGAAUAUCAUGUUAGGAUCUUUUAUUUAUGCUAGUGUGGUUUAUCUAUUUUCAUAUCUUAUUGUUACUUGCUUCCGCGGUGUUCCUGUUUUAGGGAAGAUGCUGUUAAAAUCUUUCUCGUUUGUCCGGUGUGGCUUAGUAGCAUCCUAAGGUGGUGUUUGUUUUUCUUGAGGUGUUACAGUUGGUAUCAGAGCUUAGGUUAAUUUAAUCCAAGGAAAAAUAAGGUCUAAUUUGACACACUUGCACUUGUAGGUUGGGUACGGGUACAUUUGUGUGUAUGGAUUAUUGUGCAUACUUUAAAUUGUUGGAGUUUGAUAUUUGUGUUGUUUGUGUCUUGUGGUAGCUGCAGUUAUGCCGCCUAAGAAGCGAGGUCGGGCACAACAAGCGAGCGGUGCCCAAGUUGAUGGCACUAGUUAAGCAGAAUUACUUGCCGCAAUGCAUGAAAUGCAAAAUGAGAUGAGGACUUUGAGGCAGGCUGCUCAUGUAGGUGCAGCACAACCUAAUCCUACUACCUCUACUCAGGAAGUUGCUGCCCCAGUUGGCCCUGAGAGUGGUGUCUCGCUGAGAGAGUGGGUUGGCAUGAAGCUGGAUAGUUUUGAUGGCAGUGGUACUCCCAUUCAGGCUGCUGAUUGGUUGUCAUAUGUGGAGGAUAAAAUGGAAGCUUUUGAGGUGUCAGCUCAUGAUCGUGUUCGUUAUGGGGCACAAUUACUAAAGGGUGAGGCACAGAUUUGGUAGAAGGGUGUGCAGUCAGCUCGCAGGGCUGCGCAUGGUUCUUUAACUUGGCCUGAGUUUGUUAGGCAGUUUGAGAGGAGGUUUUACCCAGUGACCUUCCUGGACAAGAUGAAAAUUAAGCUAAAUAACUAUGUGCAGGAAAGGAAGACAGUGGCUGAGUAUGAGGUGGGGUUCAACCAGAUUGUUCGCUUUGUUCCACAUGUGGCCCAUGAUGAUGUAGAGAAACCAAGGCAAUUUCGUCAUGGCCUUAAGCCUUCAAUUCGCCAUGUGUUGGGUGCAAUUGAAGUCACAGAAUUUCGCUCCAUGGUAGAGAAAGCCUUGGGAGUUGAGAUGCAGCUUCAGGUCACAGCUGAUCUAAAUAAGUCUUCGAGUGGUGACCAGUCUCGUGGUCAGGGUGACAAGAAGGGCCAUUCUGGUGGUCAUGUUCAUAGGAAGGGCAAGUUUCAGAGUCACCAGCCGUAUCGUGGUGGUUCAGCUCAGUCUUGUACUCCAGGAGGGAGUACUCCUCAGUAUCAUGCCAUUCCCAAACCUGGCACGGGGAUGGUGUGCUUCAAAUGUGGAGAUGCGCAUCGUCUUCGAGAGUGCUGAUGGUCCGGCAAGUGCUCUAUUUGUGGUCAAGAUCACAAGGACGUGGUUUGUAGGAAGAAUCCUGAUGUCAAGCUUCGUUGGGAGCUAGUGUCUUCUUCAGCUCCCAAUGGUGCAUUCCAUAUGAUGGCGGUUGCAUCUUCUACUCCUCACCUACUUGCACCGCCACCGCAGCAGUACCUACCUGCCCCUACACCUCAGUACUUGCUAACGCCACCAGUGACUCCGUCGGCUGCCCCUACGCUUCAGACAAGGGCUUACUGGAUGCCCCAUGCUACUCCUUCAGCACCCAUGGUUCCAUGGGCUCCUACUCCGAUAGGUCCUACUUCGGGUCCCUCUUCUUCGUCUGGCGUUCCAGGGGCAUAUGUUAUGCCUGCCACUAACGCUAGAGAUCGUGGUGACAUGGUAACAGGUAUCAUCUCAGUUGAUUCUUAUGAUGCUCAUGCUCUUUUUGAUUCUGGAGCUAGUUUCUCUUUCAUCUCAGAGGCUUUUGUUGGUUGUUUGGGUCUUUCUAUGGAAAGGAUUGGGGAGGCUAUCGUUGUUAGUUCUGCUAGAGGGCUUGUUUCGAGUUCUAUAGUUUGUCCAGGUUGUGUUGUUACUCUUGCGGAUGAGGAUUUUAUUGCUAACUUAGUAGUGAUUCCGUUGGAACCUUUUGAUGUGAUUCUUGGCAUGGAUUGGCUCUCCCAGUAUAAGGCUGUUAUCUCUUGUUUCUGGAAAACAAUCACUUUGCAAGCACCAUCAGGAUGAGAGAUGAUUUUUCAAGGGAGUGGUUUGAAGUACUCUAUCUCCUUGUUAUGUCAGUUAUUUCCUGAUCGAUGGACACAAAAAUAUGGUAUUCUUUUUGUGAUGAUUGGUGAUCAGGAGGUUCCCUUGUGAGUGGAUGAUAUUCCAGUGGUUUGUCGCUAUCCAGAUGUUUUCCCAGAUGAGCUCCCAGGUUUACCUCCUGAAAGAGAGGCUAUUUUCCACAUAAAGUUGGUUCCUGGAACGCAACCUAUAUAUAAGACACCAUACAAGAUGGCUCCUAUAGAGCAGGUGGAGUUAAAGAAGCAAUUGGAUGAACUUCUUACUAAAGGGUUUAUCCGACCAAGCACGUCACCUUGGGCUGCCCCAGUCUUGUUCGUAGAAAAGAAGGAUGGCACUAAAAGACUUUGUGUUGAUUAUCGAGCACUUAAUCAAGUAACAAUCAAGAACAAGUACCCUUUGCCUCGUAUUGAUGCUCUCUUUGAUCAAUUGAGAGGUGCCAAGGUAUUCUCUAAGAUUGACUUGCAAUCUGGUUACCAUCAACUACGUAUCAAGGAAGAGGAUACUGAGAAGAUGGCUUUUAAUACCAUGUAUGGGCAUUAUGAGUAUGUGGUUAUGUCUUUUGGACUAACAAAUGCCCCUGCUGUUUUUAUGGAGGCCAUGAAUAGGAUGUUGCAUGAGUACUUGGAUGUUUUUGUUGUGGUAUUCAUCGAUGAUAUCUUAGUUUACUCCAAGUCAGAGGAGGAGCAUAAGGUUCAUCUCAGUCUUGUCUUGGAUGCACUCUGGAAGAACAAGUUCUAUGCAAAGUUGAAGAAAUGUGCAUUUUGGCUUUCUGAAGUGAGCUUCCUUGGUCAUGUCAUUAAUCAACAUGGCAUGAAGGUGGAUACUAAAAACGUUGCCUCAGUGGUGGAAUGGCAAAGACCGAUGAAUGUAACAGAGGUCCGGAGCUUUCUUGGGCUUGCAGGUUAUUAUCGGCGUUUCGUGCAGGGUUUCUCAAUUGUUGCUAAGCCAAUGACUAAUCUCAGUAAUAAGGGUGUUCCAUUCAUAUGGACUAAAGAGUGUGAGGCCAGUUUCCAAACUCUAAAGAAUAAGUUAGUGAAUGCUCCUAUAUUGACAUUACCUGAGAGCGGCAAACGCUUCACUUUGUAUACAGAUGCUUCUCGAAUCGGGCUUGGGUGUGUGCUUAUGCAAGAAGGUAAAGUGAUUGCUUAUGCAUCAAGGCAAUUGAAGAAGCAUGAGCAAAAUUACCCCACACAUGAUUUAGAGUUGGCUGCAAUUAUUUUAGCUCUAAAGAUUUGGAGGCAUUAUCUUUAUGGAGAGUCAUGUGAUAUAUUUAUAGAUCACCAAAGUCUCAAAUAUAUUUUCACACAAAAAGAACUCAACUUGAGGCAACGGAGAUGGUUAGAAUUGAUUAAGGACUAUGAUCUCACCAUCCAGUACCAUCCAGGUAAGGCAAAUGUGGUGGCAGAUGCUCUUAGUAGGACAGGUGUUCCUAAGACAGUGAUGUUCUUGAUUGUUGAUAUGGAUUGCAUGGGGGUUUCGUUUUGUUAUGCGGGCGUUGCACAUCAAGAGACUCAAAUGCUUAUUCAGUCUCCCAUAGUUGAUCAGGUGUGUGAGGCUCAACAACAUGAUCGUUUGCUUCAAGAGGUUCGAAAGAGAAUUUUAGGGGGUAGACCAUGGGAGUUCACCAUAGAUGAACAUGGUGCUAUUCGCUUUAGAGGGCGUCUUUGUGUGCCACAAAAUUCUGAUGUGAAGAUGGAUAUACUUAGGGAGGCACAUCGAACACCUUACACAAUUCACCCUGGUGAGACCAAGAUGUAUCGGGACUUAAAGAAAAAUUUUUGGUGGAAAAGGAUGAAAGUUGAUGUUGCCAAAUAUGUAGCAUCUUGUGGAAUUUGUCAGCAAGUUAAGGAAGAACAUAAAAAGCCUGCGGGUUUAUUACGACCUUUGGAGAUCCCUGAGUGGAAAUGGGAACAUGUCACCAUGGACUUCGUGGUCGGGUUACCUCGCUCACCUCGAGGGAGAGAUGCCAUAUGGGUUAUUGUGGAUAGACUCACUAGGUCUGCACAUUUCAUUCCUUUGAAGUCAACUAGUUCAGCACCAGAUUUGGUUCCCUUAUACAUGAGAGAAGUGCUAAGGCUUCAUGGUGUGCCAAAGUCCAUUAUUUCUUAUCGAGAUCUCAAGUUUGUGUCUAACUUUUGGCAAUGCUUGCAUAGUGCAUUGGGCACAAAAUUGACUCUUAGCACUGCUUUCCACCCUCAGACUGAUGGUCAGUCGGAGAGGACUAUUCAGACCUUAGAGGACUUGCUUCGUGCUUGUGUUCUUUCAUGGAAAGGUAGUUGGGAGGAUCAUCUAUCUUUGGCAGAGUUCGCUUAUAAUAACAGCUAUCAAGCUAGUAUCAAGAUGGCUCCAUUUGAGGCUUUGUAUGGUAGGAAGUGUAUUUCUCCCAUAUGCUGGGAAACUUUGGGCGAGAAAUCUUUGAUUGGUCCAGAUUGGGUCUGAGAGACAUCUGAAAAGGUGCGGGAGAUACGACAGAAUCUGUUGGCUGCUCAGAGCCGGCAGAAGAGUUAUGCUAAUGUGAGGAGGCAAGAUCUAGAGUUUGCAGUGGGUGACCAUGUUCUUCUUAGGGUAUCACCAACCAAAGGUGUUGUGAGGUUUGGCACCACAGGAAAGCUUAGCCCAAGGUACAUUGGUCCGUUUGUGAUCACAGCCCGUGUUGGCAGUUUGGCAUAUCGCUUGCAGCUUCCGGAAUCAUUGAAGCAAGUGCACAAUGUUUUCCAUGUAUCUAUGUUAAGAAAAUAUUUGAGGGAUCCUGAGCACAAGAUUGAUUUGGAGCCACUUAUUGUGGACCAAAUCUAACUGUGGAAUGUCACCCAGAAUGCAUCUUAGACUCAUCCGAGCGAGUCAUCAGAAAGAGGACCAUCAAAUAUGUCAAGGUCCUAUGGAGUAAUCAGUCUGAGCGUGAAGUGACUUGGGAGCUUGAGGACCAAAUGCGUAAGAAGUACCCACAACUCUUUGAGAACGGUAAGUUUUAAUUUAUCAAAUUAGUAUAUCUUUGAGUAGUUGAAUUCGGGGACAAAUUCUUUAAAGGAGGGGAGAAUGUAACACACUAAAAAAAAUUCAAAGGCCCAGCCAGCCCAACCCUUUUCCCUAGCCCGUUGCCCCCCCAUCUUAUCCAGACCGGUUCUCUCUCCCUUCUCAUGUUUCUUCCUCCUUCCCUGCUCCCCCUGGCUUCCCUUCCCUAAAUCCCCUCUCUACAGAAGCAAACCCUUGGGGGGAACUAGCAAAACGGAUCGAGGGAAACAAGAGGAGCAAGAAAGGUGCAUCUUCCAUGUAGAUCGGUCCUUUCUCCAUAUCUUCCCGCUGCCCUAGGGUUUGGGGAACAACCGAGGUAAGGUGAAUCCACUUUAGAUAUGCUAAUUGAUGUUUUUAGGAGGUUCUUGAUCCUGAGGAUUAGUGGAUUUGUUGGGGAAAACACGGUUUGAAGGUCGAUCUAAGGUGUGCUGUCCUGUAGCUCGGGCAGUGCUGCUGUCCUUGUAGUUUUGGCAACCUAAACGAUUUCUCCUCCAAAAGUGGAUCAUACAAAAGUUGUAGAGGAUUAUGAGAUGUAACUUCUGUCCAGGUUUCACAUUUUUUGGUUGAGUAUACCUUCAGUUAUUGAAUAUUGUUUGGAUGCUGUUUCUGAAUGUCCAGAUUUUUGACAGCAGAUGUUCAGAGAUGUAUUAGAUGAUCCUAAGGAUAGAAUUCGUGGAAACCCAUAAUAACAAAGUUGUAGGUUGCUCAGAGGUAUAUGUUCUGACAAAAUUUUAGAAUUUUUGGACAAGGGGUUUGGGAGAUAUGAAUUUUUGUAUGCUGCUGCCCGAAAUUUCAGACAGAUUCUGUACUUCACAUUCAACUGCAGUUUUACCCCUCUUUGGAUUAUGCUAAAAAUAAAGGAUCUGAACAAAGUUGUAAGAUUUCUCCCUUAGUUAUCAAAGGUGUAUUUGAUUGCUGUCAUAUGUUUUGUAAUUUUUAAAGAUACAAAAAAGUGAAGCAGCACUGCUGCGGUUAACCUAGGUGAUGUUUACCAUUGUCGCUUGUUUGACGGGUUGGGCUAUAUUGGUGCUUUACUUGCGGUGUCCACGUGGUUGUUUGAGGAUAUGUUCUGACCUUAUUGUGUCAAAACAGGUGGUAACGCUCCGGAUCACGCUUAGAGCGGCUGUCUCCUUCAUUGGGAGGCAAGUAACGUAGCGGUGGUUGCUACAAGCUUUAAUUUGCUAUUUUUUCUACCUCCACCUUAAAUUUCAGAAUGAUAACUUAUCCAAUAUCAUUCAUUCAAUUACAAGUUUAUACACAUCUUACUGUUGUUAUUACAUAUGCCUUGUUCUUUACUUUAUAACUUGGUAAUGGCUCUUGUUGGCAUAAUUAUGAUGAGGUUUAUGUUGUCAAAUGAGGAGAGACUUAUCUGGUACAUGCAAUGUAUACUCUCUUUGUGCGAUCUGUCUUGGCAUUGCAUUUCAUUGCAUCACAAUGUAUGGCAUAUGGAGUUAAGUCGCCGCUUGAUAGCCGCGACCGUACCGGUACAACAUCGUUUAUUGAGCAUAACGAUGCAGCUUCAUACUUUGUUGAGUAUGAAGGUAGGAGACAUGGCAUUUGCAUUGCAUUUGCAUUUGGGGUGCUAUCAGUUUUCUAUGGUAUUGAGAAGUGAAUUUUCUCCAAGGUUUGGUGAUGAAUUGGUUUUAUUUAUGUAUGAGGGUGUUGGAGUUAUUAUUAUUAUUAUUAUUCAUUGAGGAGAUAGCUUGCUGAUAAUAGUUAAACCAUGGUCUAAUGAACUUGUAGUUUAAAUAGC